AGAGCGAACGCUGGCGGCAGGCUUAACACAUGCAAGUCGAGCGGGCGUAGCAAUACGUCAGCGGCAGACGGGUGAGUAACGCGUGGGAACGUACCUUUUGGUUCGGAACAACACAGGGAAACUUGUGCUAAUACCGGAUAAGCCCUUACGGGGAAAGAUUUAUCGCAGAAAGAUCGGCCCGCGUCUGAUUAGCUAGUUGGUGAGGUAACGGCUCACCAAGGCGACGAUCAGUAGCUGGUCUGAGAGGAUGAUCAGCCACAUUGGGACUGAGACACGGCCCAAACUCCUACGGGAGGCAGCAGUGGGGAAUAUUGGACAAUGGGCGCAAGCCUGAUCCAGCCAUGCCGCGUGAGUGAUGAAGGCCCUAGGGUUGUAAAGCUCUUUUGUGCGGGAAGAUAAUGACGGUACCGCAAGAAUAAGCCCCGGCUAACUUCGUGCCAGCAGCCGC
rnacentral:rRNA from 1 species